AUACGGAGGAUCCGAGCGUUAUCCGGAUUUAUUGGGUUUAAAGGGAGCGUAGGUGGAUUGUUAAGUCAGUUGUGAAAGUUUGCGGCUCAACCGUAAAAUUGCAGUUGAAACUGGCAGUCUUGAGUACAGUAGAGGUGGGCGGAAUUCGUGGUGUAGCGGUGAAAUGCUUAGAUAUCACGAAGAACUCCGAUCGCGAAGGCAGCUCACCGGGCCGGAACUGACACUGAUGCUCGAAAGUGCGGGUAUCAAACAGGAUUAGAUACCCUGGUAGUCCGCACAGUAAACGAUGAAUACUCGCUGUUUGCGAUACACGGUAAGCGGCCAAGCGAAAGCGUUAAGUAUUCCACCUGGGGAGUACGCCGGCAACGGUGAAACUCAAAGGAAUUGGCGGGG
rnacentral:rRNA from 1 species